GUAGCCAAGUACGGACGGGAUAAGCGCUGAAAGCAUCUAAGCGUGAAGCCCCCCUCAAGAUGAGAUUUCCCAGUAUGUAAGACCCCUUGAAGACGACGAGGUUGAUAGGUUCGGGGUGGAAGCACAGUAAUGUGUGGAGCUGACGAAUACUAAUCGGUCGAGGGCUUAUCCUAA
rnacentral:rRNA from 1 species